GGUUUCCUCCUAAUAGUCAGGCCCCUCUGCUGUCGGACUGCUGGAGGUCCACUCCAGACCCUGCUUGCCUGGGGAUCACCUGCAGUGGCUGCAGAACGACAGUCUCCUUAUCCUUUCCAGGCCCUUGAGGCUGAACCCAUGAAAAGAAAAACAAGCAGGUUGCAGUAAUCUUACUCAACUGAGAGAAAAGAGAAAUACCAUCUCAGACAUGCCAAAGUAACAGAACACAGG